UACGGGGGGGGCAAGCGUUGUUCGGAAUUACUGGGCGUAAAGGGCUCGUAGGCGGCCAACUAAGUCAGACGUGAAAUCCCUCGGCUUAACCGGGGAACUGCGUCUGAUACUGGAUGGCUGGAGGUUGGGAGAGGGAUGCGGAAUUCCAGGUGUAGCGGUGAAAUGCGUAGAUAUCUGGAGGAACACCGGUGGCGAAGGCGGCAUCCUGGACCAACACUGACGCUGAGGCGCGAAAGCCAGGGGAGCAAACGGG
rnacentral:rRNA from 1 species